GGGAAGUGAAUGACCAACUGGGUAGGCUGAUGAAUAUUUUCCUGGUAAAUGCAUAACUUUCCCCACAACUGUGAUGCUUUAUCCUUUGACAUUAAGAAUGCUGUUUGCAGAAGUAACAUUCCUUUGAACACUCAGCUUUCUGAAAUGGUGUCCCACCGCAAGGACUGGAGAAGGGUAAACCUCAGGUUCUCCUCCUGCCUUUUGCUAAGUAUAUGUCUUGAUGACAAGCCUUCUGCUGAUGAGCUGUGUUUCUGGACCGAUCAUGGUAGAAGUCAAUUAACGUGUCCCUCACUUGGGGUUUCUCAAGGCUGCACUGAUGAGGAAACUGAAACAGAAAAUCCAGAGUAAAUUCCACCAGGCCACACAGCAAGGUCUGAUAGAGCCAGGAGAGACUUUAUGAAAUCCAGACUCUCACACUAAUGCUCUAUCAGCUAGACCUCCAUGUGAGUCUCCCCAAUGUAGGUAGGAAGUGCUUUCCCUAAAAUGCUCAUAAAGCAAAUCAGAGCAAUGCUGCAUUCCAUGUGAUUUCUAAUUUGAAAUGCAAACAAUUGCCAAUUUGUUUGACUUGUAUUUAUAAUUAUUUCCUUGUGAAUUACUCAUCACUAAAUGCUUUAUAAAUAUUUUCUCUUUUUUUCCUCAAUGUCUAUGGAAUGAUCACAGCAUAGAAAAUGUUGGCUUUCAAGGAUUUAUUAAUAUCUCCUUUUGAAAUAACAUGUAUUUGUAAGACAGAAUAAAAUCACUUUAAAGAAACAAAUCUUGAAUUUGA
rnacentral:lncRNA from 1 species